rnacentral:rRNA from 2 species
CAACUUUCAGCAACGGAUCUCUUGGCUCUCGCAUCGAUGAAGAACGCAGCGAAAUGCGAUAAGUAAUGUGAAUUGCAGAAUUCAGUGAAUCAUCGAAUCUUUGAACGCACCUUGCGCUCCUUGGUAUUCCGAGGAGCAUGCCUGUUUGAGUGUCAUGAAA